rnacentral:lncRNA from 1 species
AGCGAUGCGCAGACAUCUUUGUUGUGGGCGAAACGAGGUGACCGCAGAGUCUGUCACCCAGGUUGGAGUGCGGUGGUGUGAUCUUGGCUCCCUGCAACCUCCACCUCCCAGGUUCAAGCGAUUCUCCUGCCUCAGCCUCCCAAGUAGCUGCGAUUACAGGCACCCACCACCAUGAAGAAUGGCAUUUUUAAAAGAUGGCUUUCUUAAAAAAGGAUACUCAGUUGCUCUUCUACUCAUACCAAGUCCUGCAGACACAUUCUGGGACUGCACCUUAUGAGUGCUGCUCACUCUGUUUCCUGCAGAAGACAUACAGAGCCGUUCGCAUAGAGGGCCAUGAUUUUGAUUCAGCAAUUCUUCAAACCACUGAUGCUGGUUGACCAUUUGACUUUGUUUUUGAAGUAUUUUUUACAUACAGUGUACAGAACAUUUCCGCUGGAUAUUUGGAUACUGAACAGGAGUAACAAGAGGAACAGCUCCUACCUCCCCCCUGCCCCUUCCCUCACAAGCCUGUGAGUCAGGGCAGGGGCAGCCACUGAAAGUAGCAGAGGCCUUCAUAAAGGAGAAGUUGUCAGGUAGACCUUUGGAUUAACUCCCCAAAAGCAGCCCCCUAGGAGACAGGCGACAGCACCGCAGUCAGGGGAUGCAGGCGUGGAGGCACUUCUCCAUGUUGCCAUCAUGUGAAGAAGGACAUGUUUGCUUCUGCUUCUGCCACGAGUGUUGAAGGCAAUGGUGAUGAAAGUAAAUAUUUAAAAACACUACCAUAGCUGUCCCAAAUUUCAGAAAAACAAGGUACCACUGGAACCAUUUAAUUUUGUUGGAACACAGAAUGACCAUCUUGUGAUCAGUUUUCUGCAUCUUUAAAAUACCUGGAAGGUCAUCUUUAAAUAGUACAAUCUGAUAAAAGUUUAAUACUUAGUGUAGACUUAUAUGAAUACUUCUACAUUCAUACAUUUUUGUAUACUUAUACAUUUUCAUACUCAAUUAAUGCUUAAUUCAAAAAAUAUCUGAGUACCUGCAGUGUUCCCCAUGCUACAUACUGGGCUUAAACAGCCAAAAAGACACAGUCUUUGACCUCAAAAUACUUUGAUUCUUGUAAGAAAAACUGACAAAGACAAAGAGAAGGCAAUGUGAAAACUUCUACAGUUGGGAUAACCUUGGAGGUUACAGGAUGUGGACUCACUGAAAGCUUUCUGCUGGACUUGAACUUGAAGCUGAAGUCUGAAGGACAGAUGGGUGUUGCUUAGCGAAGGGAAAGUAGGAAGCAAAGACCCCUGGACAGAGUGUAGCAGGCACAGAGGGAGCAUGACACCUUCGGGAGAGAGCCGCAAGCACCUGGGCCCAGAUCCCAGCUUUAGCUUCAUUAGCCCUGUGAACUCUGUAUGUCAGCCUUGACAUAGAAAAAAAGAGGAUACUAAACCUCCAUCUUAAAAGAGACUUGGAAGAAGCUGGGAUUAUAGGCACACCACCACACCUGGCCCCAGAAAAGGGAAUCCUUGACCUGCAAGAAUCGAGGAAUAUUGUUUCUGACAUGCUCAGUGGACCUACUGCUGGUGUUCUUAACCAUUUCCUUCCUAAGUGGAACUUCUUUUGAGGUUAAUGUUUAUAUACAAUUACUUUAACAUUGGAUUUGGGAAAUGGAACAACAUACUGCGGAUCUUUCUGCUACCGAUGAAAGAAGAAGCCAGCAUGCUCGUUCCUGUGCAUGCUGGUGAAACAGACGUGGCCUGCCCUGCCUUUCUCCAAUCUCUCUCCCGCAGCCCAGCCCAGCCCAGCCUGGUUUAAUAGCAGGGGGAGUUGGCACCGUUCACAGCUGGUUAACACCCUACUGAGCAGGUUUUGAAUGCAGAAAGACUGAGAAAACUUCACUAUUCAUGUAAGAAAAAUAGGCUCCACGGGAUCCCUUGAUCAGGAUGGUGGUAGAGGAAAUGAACUUCCAUCAGCACUGUAAUGAUCUCAGCCUUCUCCACCACCCCACGAAGUUUCUCAUAGCAAGCCACAUCUUACUCAUCUCUACAUUCCUAGGAGGGGGGACAAGUUCACAGUGUUGGGGAGAGGAAAGUGUCCUCUUAGCUGCCUCCCAUGACUUCAGGGGCCCAUUUGAUGAUAAUAGGACACUCUCUGGACAAAGCCUGCAGAUGGAUUUGAUCAAGCAAGAGAGCUGAGGAUGAAUGCGAAAAAAAAAAAAGUGGUCCUGAUGGCUCCUUGACCAUGAAAUAAAGGUCAUCAAUGAGGGAAGACAGGAGACUCCAGGAGCACAGAGACAGUGACAAAGCAAUGGAUAAAGGAAUUGUGGGUACCAGUGAGAUGGAAGGAUUAUGGGAUUUGGAGUCCUAGGGACAAAGAUGGAAAGACUGGAGGGUGCUUGGAGAGGAACUGUGAUUGGUGAUGUCAAGAUCAAGAGUACUGUCUUACAGGGGAACCAGUGACAGAGGUCAAGAAGAAGAUGAGACCACUGCAAUGGUAAUUUCAUGACAUGUACAGGUGUUGAUAAUUCCUUUGUGCUGGACAAGGUAAAACAAAGAGGGGUGAUGACUUUGAAAUGUUCUUAAUAAAAAAUUCCAGCAAUAA